rnacentral:rRNA from 1 species
ACGGAGGAUGCAAGCGUUAUCCGGAUUUAUUGGGUUUAAAGGGUGCGUAGGCGGAAUAAUAAGUCAGUGGUGAAAUACCCCGGCUCAACCGGGGAACUGCAAUUGAUACUGUUAAUCUAGAGUACAUUUGAUGUGGGCGGAAUGUAGCAUUGAGCGAUGAAAUGCUUAGAUAUGCUACAGAACACCAAUUGCGAAGGCAGCACACUAAACUAUAACUGACGCUGAUACGCGAAAGGGUGGGGAUCAAACAG